UCGCAUCUGUGCAUGCAGCAUAUCAAUAAGCGGAGGAAAAGAAACUAACAAGGAUUCCCCUAGUAACGGCGAGUGAAGCGGGAAGAGCUCAUAUUUGAAAUCUUAAAGGGUUUCCCUUUACGAAUUGUAGUUUAAAGAAGUGUUUUCUGUUGAGGUUUUGGUAAAAGUUCUUUGGAAUAGGACAUCAUAGAGGGUGAGAAUCCCGUAUUUGACCUUUACUUUCAACUUUGUGAUACACUUUCAAAGAGUCGGAUUGUUUGGGAAUGCAGUCCAAAAUGGGUGGUAAAUUUCAUCUAAAGCUAAAUAUUGGCGAGAGACCGAUAGCGAACAAGUACCGUGAGGGAAAGAUGAAAAGAACUUUGAAAAGAGAGUUAAACAGUACGUGAAAUUGUCAAAAGGGAAGCGUUUGACACCAGUGUUGUUUUUCUGAAAAUCAAUUAAAGAACUGUUUAUGCUAAGUUGUUUAGACUUUAUCAGCUAAUCUGCUUCAGUUUUGAGCUUUUCUUUAAUGCACUUUUCAGUUAACAAGUCAACAUCAAUUUCUUUUGCUGUAAAAAAGCUUGAGGAAGGUGGCUUGAGAUUCGUCUUAAGUGUUUAUAGCCUCUUGCCUAUGCAGUCGGAGAGAUUGAGGUCUGCAGCGUAGAUCCUUCGGGGCUAAAUGCAUUUGUGCUAAGUUAUAGCAUUUUAUAGACAACUUGUUGACUAUGAUUUGUCUUGUAGCUUACUCGCUUAUGUUAUUUUACCUACGCUUAGGAUGUUGAGCGCAUGUCUCUCUCU
rnacentral:rRNA from 1 species